rnacentral:lncRNA from 1 species
CACAAGCAGUGAAGUUCAAAGGACCUUCUUCAAGCGUACUGCUGUUCAUGUCCAAAAAACAGAUGGAGUCAAAGAUGUUACUAAACUUCCAUGGAUUACAAGACUCAUGACCGUCAACUGUCCUGAAGGAAACUCAACUACACUGAAGGAAACCAGCUAAGGGGUGACAGGAGACCGAGACAACUCUGUGGCUCCACAACCGGUAAA